UGACCUCGGAUCAGACGUGAUUACCCGCUGAAUUUAAGCAUAUUAUUAAGCGGAGGAAAAGAAACUAACAAGGAUUCCCCUAGUAACGGCGAGUGAACGGGGAAGAGCCCAACACCGAAUCCCUUGGCGCAAGUCAACGGGAAAUGUGGUGUUAAGGUAGCCCUUCGUGUCAGUCUAGGCGUCUCAAGUCCACCUGAUUGUGGCUCAAGCCCAGAGAGGGUGUAAGGCCCGUAGAGACGCUCCGACUGAUUCCUGGGGUUUACCUACGAGUCGGCUUGUUUGGGAAUGCAGGCCAAAGCGGGUGGUAAACUCCAUCCAAGGCUAAAUACUGGCACGAGUCCGAUAGCGGACAAGUACCGUGAGGGAAAGUUGAAAAGAACUUUGAAGAGAGAGUUCAAUAGUACGUGAAACCGCUUAGAGGCAAACGGAUGGUGCUCAUACUGGCCUGAGGAAUUCAACUGUGACGGUGGCUGGACGAGCUGGCGUUCCGAUCUCUCUUUUGGGACGGGCGUCGGUUUGGCUAUCAGCUCUGACAUGGUGCACUUUCCUUGGUGCCUCCGCCACGACCGACGACACUGGCUACCCGCGGCUGGGGUAAGGUGACAAACUGCUUCGGCAAUUUGUGUUAUAGACCCCGGCGUCGGACAUGGUUUGGCCAGGACGUCGAGCUUGCGGCGCCCGCUCCUUGUGGGCUCGCAUGUUGGCUAGCUUGGCUGCGCCGAUGCUUGCACUGGACAACCAGUACAGGUGACGGUUGUGGUCUUGUCUCUAGUUGGCCUCUGCGAGUUUGGCGCCUAUAGUCUGUGGUGUACUUGUGGGUAGACUAUCCGACCCGUCUUGAAACACGGACCAAGGAGUCUAACAUGUGCGCGAGUCAUGGGGAUUCUACGAAACCCAAAGGCGCAGUGAAAGUAAAGGCCUGCUUCUCGUAGGCUGAGGUGGGAUCUCGUGCAUCGCGAUUGGCGAGCGCACCACCGGCCCGUCCUAUCUGUCUCUGUCAGUGGGGCGGCGCAAGAGCGUACACGUUGGGACCCGAAAGAUGGUGAACUAUGCUUGCGCAGCUCGAAGUCAGUGGAAACACUGAUGGAGGAGCGCAGCGUUUCUGACGUGCAAAUCGAUCGUCAAACGUGAGUAUAGGGGCGAAAGACUAAUCGAACCAUCUAGUAGCUGGUUCCCUCCGAAGUUUCCCUCAGGAUAGCUGGCACUCGGGAAACAGUUUUAUCCGGUAAAGCGAAUGAUUAGAGGCAUUGGGGUCGAAACGACCUCGACCUAUUCUCAAACUUUAAAUGGGUAAGAUGCUCGUCUCGCUUAAUUGGAGGCGGGCUUCACCUCUCUAACGUGAAUGUGAGUGCCCAGUGGGCCAUUUUUGGUAAGCAGAACUGGCGCUGUGGGAUGAACCAAACGCGCGGUUAAGGCGCCCAAUGCGGACGCUCAUGAGACACCACAAAAGGUGUUGGUCGAUACUGACAGCAGGACGGUGGCCAUGGAAGUCGGAACCCGCUAAGGAGUGUGUAACAACUCACCUGCCGAAUCAACCAGCCCUGAAAAUGGAUGGCGCUGGAGCGUCGGGCCUAUACCGUGCCGUUGGGGCGAAGCAGACAAAUAAUCUGUGUGGAUGUCCCAACGAGUAGGAGGGUCGCCGUGGUGAGCGCAGAAGGUGCGGCCGUGAGGCCGGCUGGAGCCGCCACGGGCGCAGAUCUUGGUGGUAGUAGCAAUUACUCAAGUGAGAACCUUGAGGACUGAAGUGGAGAAGGGUUCCAUGUGAACAGCAGUUGAACAUGGGUCAGGCGGUCCUAAGCGAUCGGGUAACUCCGUACCUAGACGAGGGUGACAACUAUCACUUAACUAAAAAUUGUGACGUGUUAUAGCCCUCCGGAGCGAAAGGGAAUCGUGUUAAUAUUCACGACCCUUACCGUGGAGAUCGCCCCUUUCGGGGGGCAAGUGCGGUAACGCAAACGAACACAGAGACGUCGGCUGGAGCCCCGGGAAGAGUUCUCUUUUCUUUGUAAGGAGCGUACCCCCUGGAAUCGGCUUGUCCGGAGAUAGGGGCGUGGCUUCCGUAAAGCAGCGCGGGUCUUGCGCUGUCCGGUGCACUCUAGUCGGCCCUUGAAAAUCUGUGGGAGACAGUGUGAUUUUCACGGUAGGCCGUACCCAUAUCCGCAGCAGGUCUCCAAGGUGAACAGCCUCUAGUCCUAGAACAAUGUAGGUAAGGGAAGUCGGCAAAAUGGAUCCGUAACUUCGGGAAAAGGAUUGGCUCUGAGGGCUGGGUCGGAUGGGCUGGCGUAAGAAGCUGUUCCGGUUUUGGUGAGGACUGGGCGAGGCUUUCGGGCUUUACUCGGACCAUGCCGAGACCAGGCAGUAGACGACGUCAGCUGUGCUUGUCGUGUUUCGGCGCGGCAGCUUCGUCCGGCAACAAACAGCCAACUCAGAACUGGCACGGACUAGGGGAAUCCGACUGUCUAAUUAAAACAAAGCAUUGCGAUGGCUGUUGCUCGGUGUUGACGCAAUGUGAUUUCUGCCCAGUGCUCUGAAUGUCAAAGUGAAGAAAUUCAAUCAAGCGCGGGUAAAACGGCGGGAGUAACUAUGACUCUCUUUGGACUCUGUUCAAUCAAGCGCCUGCGACUGCGCAAACUGUUAGAUGACUGGAAACACUUCUUUUGUUCCUAUUCGCUCCCCCUCCUCGGAGGGUUGCCCCAGUUUCUGCCCGAAACCUUAUUCAGAACCAGGCCCCACCCGGUCUGGCCACAGGCUAACCGCCGGCCACUGGGCCCCCCUCUGGGACCCGCGUUCCGGUCGGGCGCCUUCUCCUGGACCGGGUGGUUUCAAGGCGCGCGGGCCUCUGGACGGGAGCCGCUUUUCUUCUAUUAAAGCCGAAACCACGAGGAUGGCACCUUUUUGCCUCCUCGGAACCCGGGGGAGGGCUGGGGGGUGGCUUUGCCUCCCCCUCCGCCCCCCCUGUCCCCUCGUGAUUUGGAUCUGUUGCGUGUGUACAUCGCAUGUUUCCAGAGGAACAGCGCCCAAGCCGGGCUCGUCCACCCUUCCGGGCCGGAGGCCCGUCGGGAGGGCGUGGGCCUCGAAAACUACCCGGAGGCUGGUGCGGACUUCAGAGCUACCCAUUAAAUGAGCUCAAACUGGUGGUCUGGUCGCGCAAUCCACGGCAGAAGCCGGGUGUGCUUCCGGUUCCGCACCAACGUGCUGUGUGGAGGUGGCUCUUUUUAGGACCACGCGGAGCCCGGCGGCCGAGUGCCAGCCCGGGGCUGGCCUGUUGCGGAGGGUAUGUCCGGCCCUCUCAGGUCUUAUCUCGCCCUGGUAGGCCAGAUGAGGUUGAGUCGAGAGGACCCCCGAGUCCAACGACCGCCACAUUAUAACGUGUUAGACCAUACUAUAUGAAGUGAU
rfam:Macrostomum lignano uti_cns_0048566, whole genome shotgun sequence.